UACGGAGGGUGCAAGCGUUAUCCGGAUUUACUGGGUUAAAGGGUGCGUAGGCGGGUUGAUAAGUCAGUGGUGAAAUACUAUCGCUUAACGAUGGAACUGCCGUUGAUACUAUCAAUCUUGAAUACAGUGGAGGCGGGCGGAAUGUGUCAUGUAGCGGUGAAAUGCUUAGAUAUGACACAGAACACCUAUUGCGAAGGCAGCUCGCUACACUGUUAUUGACGCUGAUGCACGAAAGCGUGGGAUCAAACAGG
rnacentral:rRNA from 1 species